rnacentral:rRNA from 1 species
AGCGGCGGACGGGUGAGUAAUGCUUAGGAAUCUGCCUAUUAGUGGGGGACAACAUUUCGAAAGGAAUGCUAAUACCGCAUACGUCCUACGGGAGAAAGCAGGGGAUCUUCGGACCUUGCGCUAAUAGAUGAGCCUAAGUCGGAUUAGCUAGUUGGUGGGGUAAAGGCCUACCAAGGCGACGAUCUGUAGCGGGUCUGAGAGGAUGAUCCGCCACACUGGGACUGAGACACGGCCCAGACUCCUACGGGAGGCAGCAGUGGGGAAUAUUGGACAAUGGGCGCAAGCCUGAUCCAGCCAUGCCGCGUGUGUGGAGAAGGCCUUAUGGUUGUAAAGCACUUUAAGCGAGGAGGAGGCUACUUUAGAUAAUACCUAGAGAUAGUGGACGUUACUCGCAGAAUAAGCACCGGCUAACUCUGUGCCAGCAGCCGCGGUAAUACAGAGGGUGCAAGCGUUAAUCGGAUUUACUGGGCGUAAAGCGCGCGUAGG